AUUUGGGUGGGGCAGCCGUGUUAGCGCUUCGGACUUGUAACCGGAGGGUUGCCGGUUCGAACCCCGACCAGUAGG
rnacentral:tRNA from 1 species